GGGGAGGCAGAGAGGAGGGGGAAGAAGGACAGGAAAAAGAAAAACAGACCUAAUGAAAUUAGGAAUAAACGAUCGUUAACAAUGGUUCUUACUCUUUUUUGAAUCACAGAAUCCUUUGAAAAUCUAGUGUAUGGCAUGAUCCGCUCUCCAGUAAACUCCUGUACACAUGAGCACAGUCAUGCAUGUAGUUUCAGGGGUUCACCAGUCCCUUGGGGCCCAUGAGCCCCUGCUAAGAAUAUUGGCGUCACAGGUAGUUCUUGGGGGCUGUGCUAGGCUUCUGAGAACAGUCUGUGGAAAGCAAAUUCAAGUUCGGUUCUAUACAUUUCUAUAAAAUGCUUAAAAGUUGCCAGGCACCUCGUGACAUUGUUAUGUUAUAACACAUGGGGUGGUACAAAGGUCAAUAUGAUUGGGUGUUUUCCUACAGCAUCAAAGUCUCUUGAGCAAUGCUGACUGCAGAAAACACUAACGCACAGCAGAAGUGAUAUAUGCUAUAGUGCUGGUAGAAAGGAACAUGAAGCCAUUGAAAGAAGAAAUGAAUUUCCACCCCAGACGUAUUAGAAAACCUCUAAAAGGGGAUGGUAUUUCAACUAGAUCUUAAACAAAAGCUGCCAGCAAAAGGACAUGUAAUGUGGGAACAGGAUACGCAAAUACAAGGUAGGAAAAUGGAGGUGUUCAGGGACAAGUAGGCGGUGUGGUUUGACUGGAAUGCAGGGUUCAUUAAAGAGCACUGACCAUGUGGUAGGUCGAGGCCAAGUGCUGGGGAUACAAUGAGUCCUUAAAGCACUUCCCAGUCUAAUGGAACAUAUGGAAAAAUAAUCAGUUCUUAUUUUUACUAUUCUGUACAAGAAAUCAUUUGACGAGGGAAAGUAAGGAAGCACAUAAAGGGAACCAGGCACCAGGACAGGUUUCCUGGGAAAAGUAUCUCCUCACUUGAGUAAGGAGAUAGGAAACAAGGCUGGGCAAGGCAAUCCGAGAUAGAUUGAGGACAGCCUUCAUGCCAGCUGAAAUAGUUUGGAUCUAGUUUUGCUUGUAAUUAGGAGGCCAAAGAUGUUUGAAUAGGAGACGUAAUGUAAAUGAGUGUUUAAGAGCUUGGAUUGUGAAGUCAUACAAAUCUGUUUGAACCCACUUACAAAUCACAUUCGCUGUGUGAUUUGGUGGCAAGUUACUUAACUUCUUUGUAUCUCAGUUUCCAAAUGUACAAAAUGGGGGAUAUUGCGGGUUCCCAUCUUUAGGAUUGUUGUGAUUAGUAGCCACAAUACUAAUAUUAAUAACACAAUUACUUGUUAUUGAUCUAUCUGGGAGUAUAUUUUAGCAAAGGCAUUCUGAUACGAUAUUGACAACGGAAUGAGGAAGAGGCCAGAGAGUGGAAUAGUGGAGCUCAUCCAGCCACUAGGCAGACAAGGGAUGCCUGGGAUGCAACAGCACUGGCUCUCCUUGAAUGUCUUGCUUUAAACUUUUAAAGAAAGGGGAAUAGUGGUAGACGUGGAAAUGAGUAUCAACUAUGUGCUUGGCACUCUGGCAACAAGUUGAUAUUCAUGAAGUUAUCUGGUUCUUAUAACAAUCCUAGAAAGCAUUUUCAGCAUUCAGAAAAGUAGGCACAGAGAUUUAGCACCUAGCUUGUGGGCAUAAAGUUUGGGCUCUAGAGAGGGGCUUCUGGGUGGCUCAGUCUGUGUCCGACUUUCGAUUUUGGCUCAGGUCAUGCUCUCACAGUUCGGGAGUUUGAGCCCCACAUCAGGCUUUGCACUAUCUGUUUGGGAUGCUCUCUCUCUCCCCCUCUCUCACUCAUGUGUAUGCUGUCUCUUUCUCGCAAAAUAAAAAUAGUUAAAUGAAAGGAUGGAGAUAUUCUCUUUUUGUGAGUGAUGGCACUAAGUGUUAACUAGCCACAUGACUUUCCAAUCAAAAACCACAUUCCCCAGCUUCUCCAGGUGUAGCCAGUGGGACAUGAGUAGUGGUGACAUGCGCGUUAUCCGGGUCUCAUCCUUAAGUGAAAACUGCUUGCUCACUACCUACCCCGUUCCCCUUCCUGUGGACCAGAACUUACACACAGUGGGGUUGCAGGACCAGAGCACAACAAAGAAGGAAAUGAAAUUUCUGGAUCGUCUUGAGGUAUAGAAAGCAGUCUCCCUAUCCCGGGCUUCCUGCCUACAUCUGAACUCAUUUGUGGGAGAGAGCCACUUUCCUCAGUGGCAAAGUGGAAACAGCACCAGCUAAUGACGAACCUGUGUGUCUUUUGUGAAGAGUAAAUGAAAAUGAACAGGCACUGGCAGUGUGGAGACAGAGAAUGUGAAUACUACCUGGAGGACAUCUGGCACUGACGUCAAUGGAAGCUCACAUCGGCACUCUUUGCCAUCUACACACUCCAGGAAUGGAUUCGACCAGUGCCUGCUUCCUUACAGUGCAUCAGCAUCCCAAUGGAACGAUGGCAGUGAGCUUGGUGUCACAGCAUUACUCUGACCAACACAGGCAUUAUGACUUUGUGCUAAUUGCAGGAACAUCUUUGCAAAAGCAAAGAGUGGGAAUGAAGGCAGAUGGGAAGCUCCAGUUGUGCCUGUCUUCACACACCAGCUAAGUUGGCUGAAUUCAUGUUGGAGGAAAGAGCUUGUUGAAGACUGAUCUGCUUCCAUGAAGGAAGAAAACCAUGGGGUCAACAGCAUAUCUGUUGAGUCAUGUAGAGGCUCAAUAAAUAUUUGAUGAUAGUUCAUGUUCCAUG